AGGUGGAGGUGGAGGCGUGUCAACAAAUGUGAUUGAAAAUGCCAAACAGAUGAUUUGGCAGCCAUACGAUUUGUGUAUGUGUAUGUGUCUGUAUGUAUGAUCUGGAGAAUAUAUUGGGAUGAAAAUAAGAUUAUUUCCUGAGAAAGAAGCACAGCGAAAAGCCCCCCAAAGUGUUAACCAGUCUCUGCUAAAUGCCAAGAAAAUGAACAAGUUGCUUGGAUUUUGGGUGUGUUUUCGGAUUCAGGGGAACGGGUUUUUCGCCAUUGAGGGACUCUGGUCUCUGCGCAAACAACACAAGUCGUUUCCAAGUCUGAAAUGCUAAAUAGCCAGAGCCACACAGUCAGAUGGGGUGCUCUCCGGCUGGAGGUUGGCUGCAACCUUAUAAGAAAGCAAAAGUGUUGCCAAAGUCUUACAGAAAACCCGUUAGUACCCCUCCCUCCAUCCGCCCGCUGUUGCCAAAGAAGAAAAAACAGAAGCAGCAGAAAAGAAAAGAAAAACAUAAAACUGGCAAACGGAAUAGAAAUAGAAAGAGAUUUGUGGUAUGGCGCAUAACUUUCACAUGCCUUGGGUCUCUAUAAGAAAAUUGUACCGUUUGUUAAAGCUGCUGCUGACGACGACGACGACGACAACAACGAUGGAGACGGCGAUGACGAUGAAAUGGCACAAAAGAAAAGGCCAAGAGAUCGUAUGAUGUUUGCUGCCCCAGUGGCUGUAGCGGCUGCUCUCACAGAUAGCGAGAGUGAGUGAAAUGUAGAAGUGAAUGUUGUUUGAUUUCUGUGAUCUCUUUGAUUUUGAUUUCAGUUUAACUUUUGAAGAAUAAAGGAAAUCGCGCAAUGGCUUUAGCCAUUAGCUACACAC